rnacentral:rRNA from 1 species
AUGAACGCUAGCUACAGGCUUAACACAUGCAAGUCGAGGGGCAGCAUUUUAGUUUGCUUGCAAACUAAAGAUGGCGACCGGCGCACGGGUGAGUAACACGUAUCCAACCUGCCGAUAACUCGGGGAUAGCCUUUCGAAAGAAAGAUUAAUAUCCGAUAGUAUAUUAAAACCGCAUGGUUUUACUAUUAAAGAAUUUCGGUUAUCGAUGGGGAUGCGUUCCAUUAGUUUGUUGGCGGGGUAACGGCCCACCAAGACUACGAUGGAUAGGGGUUCUGAGAGGAAGGUCCCCCACAUUGGAACUGAGACACGGUCCAAACUCCUACGGGAGGCAGCAGUGAGGAAUAUUGGUCAAUGGACGAGAGUCUGAACCAGCCAAGUAGCGUGAAGGAUGACUGCCCUAUGGGUUGUAAACUUCUUUUAUAUGGGAAUAAAGUAUUCCACGUGUGGGAUUUUGUAUGUACCAUAUGAAUAAGGAUCGGCUAACUCCGUGCCAGCAGCCGCGGUAAUACGGAGGAUCCGAGCGUUAUCCGGAUUUAUUGGGUUUAAAGGGAGCGUAGGUGGAUUGUUAAGUCAGUUGUGAAAGUUUGCGGCUCAACCGUAAAAUUGCAGUUGAAACUGGCAGUCUUGAGUACAGUAGAGGUGGGCGGAAUUCGUGGUGUAGCGGUGAAAUGCUUAGAUAUCACGAAGAACUCCGAUUGCGAAGGCAGCUCACUAGACUGCAACUGACACUGAUGCUCGAAAGUGUGGGUAUCAAACAGGAUUAGAUACCCUGGUAGUCCACACAGUAAACGAUGAAUACUCGCUGUUUGCGAUAUACAGUAAGCGGCCAAGCGAAAGCAUUAAGUAUUCCACCUGGGGAGUACGCCGGCAACGGUGAAACUCAAAGGAAUUGACGGGGGCCCGCACAAGCGGAGGAACAUGUGGUUUAAUUCGAUGAUACGCGAGGAACCUUACCCGGGCUUAGAUUGCAACAGAAUAUAUUGGAAACAGUAUAGCCGUAAGGCUGUUGUGAAGGUGCUGCAUGGUUGUCGUCAGCUCGUGCCGUGAGGUGUCGGCUUAAGUGCCAUAACGAGCGCAACCCUUAUCUUUAGUUACUAACAGGUGAUGCUGAGGACUCUAGAGAGACUGCCGUCGUAAGAUGUGAGGAAGGUGGGGAUGACGUCAAAUCAGCACGGCCCUUACGUCCGGGGCUACACACGUGUUACAAUGGGGGGUACAGAAGGCAGCUACCUGGCGACAGGAUGCUAAUCCCAAAAACCUCUCUCAGUUCGGAUCGAAGUCUGCAACCCGACUUCGUGAAGCUGGAUUCGCUAGUAAUCGCGCAUCAGCCAUGGCGCGGUGAAUACGUUCCCGGGCCUUGUACACACCGCCCGUCAAGCCAUGAAAGCCGGGGGUACCUGAAGUACGUAACCGCAAGGAGCGUCCUAGGGUAAAACUGGUAAUUGGGGCU